UCAUCAUCAACAGACUGACCUUGGUCUGGAGCGACCUUAUCACCUGGAGAUGAUUUUAUUCUUGAAUCAGUGCUAGUGCAAGAGUGCUCAGCAACAGUGAUGUUUCUUUGUGGAGAAGGAGAUGGGGAAGCCAUAUCUGAUUUGGACAUCUCACCAGCAGCCACACUAGCAAGCAGGUUCAUUCCAACAUCAUCCCCAACAGACAAAGAUGCAUUUGCUUCAGAGUAUUUGACACAACUAUCAAUCAAAGCAUUUAUGGGGCUGAAAGAAGCAUCAUGCAAUUUCCCAGAUUUAUGUUCAUUUCCAGAUGAUGAGGAAGCUGCUUUCAAGACUUCUGUUAAUUUCCUAGCGUCUUCACCAGUUCUGCAGUUAUCCACAUCGGGAAUAGCGGCAGGUGAACCAUCUCCCUCAUCAGAACCAGUCAGCAUCUCUUUGAAAUCAUUGCUUUGCCAUGACU
rnacentral:misc_RNA from 1 species